rnacentral:rRNA from 1 species
GAUGAACGCUGGCGGCGUGCCUAAUACAUGCAAGUCGAGCGAACAGACGAGGAGCUUGCUCCUCUGACGUUAGCGGCGGACGGGUGAGUAACACGUGGAUAACCUACCUAUAAGACUGGGAUAACUUCGGGAAACCGGAGCUAAUACCGGAUAAUAUAUUGAACCGCAUGGUUCAAUAGUGAAAGACGGUUUUGCUGUCACUUAUAGAUGGAUCCGCGCCGCAUUAGCUAGUUGGUAAGGUAACGGCUUACCAAGGCGACGAUGCGUAGCCGACCUGAGAGGGUGAUCGGCCACACUGGAACUGAGACACGGUCCAGACUCCUACGGGAGGCAGCAGUAGGGAAUCUUCCGCAAUGGGCGAAAGCCUGACGGAGCAACGCCGCGUGAGUGAUGAAGGUCUUCGGAUCGUAAAACUCUGUUAUUAGGGAAGAACAAAUGUGUAAGUAACUAUGCGCGUCUGGACGGUACCUAAUCAGAAAGCCACGGCUAACUACGU